rnacentral:rRNA from 1 species
UACGUAGGGGGCAAGCGUUGUCCGGAUUUAUUGGGCGUAAAGAGCGUGUAGGCGGCCAGAUAGGUCCGUUGUGAAAACUCGAGGCUCAACCUCGAGACGCCGAUGGAAACCAUCUGGCUAGAGUCCGGAAGAGGAGAGUGGAAUUCCCGGUGUAGCGGUGAAAUGCGCAGAUAUCGGGAAGAACACCCGUGGCUAAGGCGGCUCUCUAGUACGGUACUGACGCUGAGACGCGAAAGCGUGGGGAGCGAGGCAGG